rnacentral:tRNA from 1 species
CGUUUCGUGGCGUAGUUGGUUAACGCGCCCAGUCUAGCGUAUUGGGAGUCGUGGAAUCGAAUCCCACCAGAACGA